AUACUCCUCAGCAAAUCGCUAUUAUCAACAGUCAUUCUUUUACACUGUAUCAGUUAACUAUUGCACGAAUUUCAUAUUAAGUGAAUUGUUUACACAGAUUUGCAUUCAAACAAAAUAUCAAUAUGCAGAUUAUGUAUUUCAUCGGUUUUGCGGUGAUGACGAUUUUAGCUACUAGUCUAAUGGUAAUGGCCGUACCAAAGCCCAUCAGUCCAGCUGCGCUUGCUUCAUUGGCUGGCGGUGGAAUAGGUAAAUGAAGAUGUUCGACAAAUGUAUAAAAUCUUACGUUCAUGUUAAUCCAGCGCUAUUUAUUUUCCCUAGUUUUAAAAUAUACGUAUAGCUCAGGUAUAUCAAUUUUCAAUUGACCAACUGUUUAUCUGAUUCCUGUGUUAGUAUGCAGUCUAUGGUUCUUCAAUUUUAAAGUGAAAUUUAUUUAACCCAAAUCAAGCAAUAUGUGCGCACAUAUUUUCAAUUUACGAAUAAUUAAAUAAAAAGUUCAAGCAUCA